GCUACCAGAACGUCGGGCAUC
rnacentral:miRNA from 1 species